AUUGUUGGAUAUUUUCACCGCAGCCCGAUUGCAUGUCACGCCCUACAGGAAAAACAAACUCUGAUGGAUUUACCAAAACAUAAACUGAUCCAAGACAUAAUCACCAGAUGGAACAGUUCAUUCGAAAUGCUUGAAUGUUUUUUGGAACAACAGCCAGCUAUAAUGGCAACUCUGAUGUCCAAGGAUCUACGAAAGGGGGUCACAGAUGUAGGCACGCUGAGUGAGAGUGAUAUUGCCAACAUGGAUGACAUUGUUCAGUUGAUGGGUCCUGUCAAAAUGGCAACCACUGUGAUGUGUGAAGAAGACCAGCCAACUCUCUCUGUAAUUGCUCCUCUUCAAGCAAAACUGCUGAAACACCUACAGCCAUGCGAAGACGACUCAACCCUGGUUGCAGAGAUUAAGAGGGUGAUGGCCAGUGACCUCUCCACACGCUACAGAGGCACCCAAGAUGCUCUCAACAUAGGUAAUUAAUUUGGAGUCUUAAUUAAAAUCAACUUGGUUAAUAUUUUAGGUUAUUAGACUGUAUUAAUUUGUAAAAUGCCACACCUUUGCGUUUUCAAGUUUGAAUUUGAGUUGUUUUUUCAUAUGGAAAAGUAAACAAGAUAUCUGCAAUACAAUUCUUAGUUCAUGGUGGCUUUACAUCAUCACUGUGCCACAUUUCUUUUAAACAUACUAAAGUUUAAUCUUCUGAUUAUUUUGUGUAUGAGGAGGUGGUCAUCACUUGCAAUUUCAGGUCAACUUAAUUUAAUAAUGCAAUGAAUGCAAUAUUCUUGUUCUUUAAACAGCAUCAGCGUUGGACCCGCGAUUUAAAGAACUGCCCUACCUGGAAAAAGAGGACAGAGAACAGGUCUACACAAAACUGGUUUUUGAGGCAGAAGUGUCCCACCAGAUGCAAGCAAUGGGAAAUCAGGAGGAAGACGAGGGAAGCUCAAGCACAAAGCUGUCAGGAUUCAAUGAAGAGACCACAGCUCCAAAUGAGUCACCUCCUUGUAAGAAGAAAGCCUUAGAUGCGCUGUUUGGCGAUUCCUUCACCCAAAGAGAAAGAAAAUCCACAAGCGAGACAGCCAGAGCAGAGGUGUUAAGGUACCGAGCAAAGGAUGCGUUGCCUUUGACUGAAAAUGCCAUGAAGUGGUGGAGAUCUCAGGAGAAAGAGCUACCUGUACUUUCCACCCUUGCUAAACGGUACCUGUGCAUUCCAGGCACCAGUGUGCCAGCAGAACGAGUUUUUAGUACUGCUGGCGACAUAGUGAACACACAGAGAA